rnacentral:rRNA from 1 species
GACGAACGCUGGCGGCGUGCUUAACACAUGCAAGUCGGACGGAAAGGCCCUGCUUUUGUGGGGUGCUCGAGUGGCGAACGGGUGAGUAACACGUGAGUAACCUGCCCUUGACUUUGGGAUAACUUCAGGAAACUGGGGCUAAUACCGGAUAGGAGCUCCUGCUGCAUGGUGGGGGUUGGAAAGUUUCGGCGGUUGGGGAUGGACUCGCGGCUUAUCAGCUUGCUGGUGGGGUAGUGGCUUACCAAGGCUUUGACGGGUAGCCGGCCUGAGAGGGUGACCGGCCACAUUGGGACUGAGAUACGGCCCAGACUCCUACGGGAGGCAGCAGUGGGGAAUAUUGCACAAUGGGCGGAAGCCUGAUGCAGCAACGCCGCGUGCGGGAUGACGGCCUUCGGGUUGUAAACCGCUUUCGCCUGUGACGAAGCGUGAGUGACGGUAAUGGGUACAGAAGCACCGGCUAACUACGUG